CAGAAUGAACGCUGGCGGCGUGCCUAACACAUGCAAGUCGAGCGAGAAAGUGGCUUCGGCCAUGAGUACAGCGGCGAACGGGUGAGUAACACGUGGAUAACCUGCCUGGAAGUGGGGGAUAACUCGGGGAAACCUGAGCUAAUACCGCAUAAGCCUUCUGGACCUCGGUCCAGAUUGGAAAGGUUGCCUCUUCUUCGAAAGCUAUCGCUUCCAGAGGGGUCCGCGCCUGAUUAGCUAGUUGGUGAGGUAAUGGCUCACCAAGGCGACGAUCAGUAGCCGGCCUGAGAGGGUGAUCGGCCACACUGGAACUGAGACACGGUCCAGACUCCUACGGGAGGCAGCAGUGGGGAAUAUUGCGCAAUGGGGGAAACCCUGACGCAGCAACGCCGCGUGGAGGAUGAA
rnacentral:rRNA from 1 species